UAGCCCUCGAGGUGCAGACCACAUUGGGGCCUUCCCAGACCUGCAGCACAGAGAUAAAGGAGGUGGGGAGAGGUGGGUAUCACCAAGGGCUCAGUCCAGGACCCUCCACCCCUCCCACCACCCCUGCCCCGCUGUACCAUGGCCACCACCGGGCCGGAGCUCAUGUAGCUGAUGAGGGCUGGGUAGAAGGGCUUCCUCUGCAGGUCGUGGUAGUGCUCGGCAAGGAUGCUCUCUGGUGCCUGGUGCAUUGGGGGAAGGAGGUGAGAGGAGGCCCUGGAGAGGGAGCCCCACCAGGCACUGGGACAGUGACAUGGUGUACUGAUCACAGGGCCCUUUGCAGACGACACCUACAUGGGGCAGCACUCCAGCCACAAAAGCACAAGGCAGACACCUCCCCACCCCUCCCCUUCUACUGCCAACACCAGGAUGUCUUCCUGAUGCAGGGCUGAGAUGUGAGAAGCCCCCCAUCCCAGUCCCCUCAGGGACACCCACAGGCCAAGAGCCCUGGUACCUGCAGCAUCUUCAUCCCCACCAGCUUGAAGCCCCUCCUCUCAAAGCGCUGGAUCACAUCCCCAACAAGCCUCCGCUGCACCCCGUCUGGCUUCACCGCAACCAGGGUCCGCUCCAGGGUCCAGGAGGGUCCUCCUUUAGAAGAGGGGGGUUCGGGGCUGCCGAGGCCUCACCCUUUCAUGUCUCCCGGACCUGGGUUCCCCUGCCAGGACCCAGGGGUCACCUGGACUUCAGAGUGUCUGCCUCAGGCAGAGCAGCUCUGGAGGGGAGAAGUGUGGUAUCCACAGCCAGGACUGUCUAGCAUGGUGCUACCCCUUGGGACAAGCAGCACAGGGGGUCCCUGGGGACUUCAGCCUGUCAGAGGGGCCAUGGGCCCUCCCAGGCAGUGGCAGAAGCUGCCCAUGAUAGAGCUGAUGUCCCCUGAAAAGGCAUCUAUCUUAGACAGCCUGGAGGCCUAGGGAGGCACAGUCCAGCUCAGAGGCCACCCGGAGGCCCAAAGAUGCCACACUGGAAAGAAAGUACAAGUCUUGGCCUGAUUUUCACUCUUGUCCUUUGUGGCGCUAGCACAAUGUCUGAACCCCCAACCUGCCACAUCAGGAAGGAACUACCACCCAUCUUCUGGGUCUCAGGUGAAGGAAUGGCAGGGGACCAGGGAGACAGAAGGGCACUUUCCCCACCGGCUGGGCCACAGACAGCGGGACAAAGGGACCUGGGGAUUGAGGAGAAAGGUGGAGGGGUUCCUGUCUGCAGGUGGGGAGAGUUGAGAGGGCUCCUCCCCUCACACCUUCGUUGGCCAGGCUGCUGUGGGGUUCCAGGGUGGGAUGCUUCCAGACCUAAAGUCAACACUGCCACAGUCUUCCCCCUCCUGGGGAGACACUGCCCGGAAGACCCCCCAGCAUAGUCACCCUCCUACAGCCCCAGGCCACUUCCAGAGUUAUGCUGACCCUCAGCAUUGGGUCCAGGGUCAAGUGUACUUUUGAGAGGAGCCCAGACCCUGGAUGUCCAGCUAAUUCCUGCAAAGAGGGAGGAGAAAACUGGAGGAGAGAUGAGACAUAGGGUCCAGGAGGGCCAGUGUCCCUGGAGGCAUCUGCAGCUGCCUUCCCAUCCCCAGGAGGAAAAUAAACCAAAGUUGUGCAGGGCCUGGAGAGCAGACAGUGGGUUCCCACCACAUCCCUUCAAUGAACCGUGCUGGAGGAAGUCCCCCCAUCCUUAUUUCGUCCCCCAAGCCCAGUGCCUGGGGGCCCUGCUGCCAGCUGGCUUGUGCCUCAGCCGGUGGCAGUUCACUCUUGCCAGCAUUUGGAACGCCAGGACAUCUGCUGCUCAGGAAGAGCCUGAGGGUCAGCAGCUAGGGCAGAGGUCCCUGUGGAUACCAGCGGGCAGGGAUAGGCCAGAGGGAAAAACGCCCCAGGACGGCAGUGUUCAUCUGAUGAGAAUGACCCCUCUCAGGAGCCCCGAGUCCGCCGCAAAGUGUGGCCACCAGGCUUCUGGCUUCCUCCUGCCCUGGAACCCUGGGGACCCCCUGCCCUGAGCACGGUGAGGAGGUCCACAUCAGGGUCCACCUCCAGGAAACCCAGCCUCAGAAAGGAAGAUACCAGAAGGAAGCACUUUAUGACCGCAUUUGAUACAGCAGAGCACAAACACGAGGCUGUUCAUUUCUCCUCCGAUGCUGACUCUCCUCCCGCGUCCGGCACUAAACGUGGAAGCACUUUAUCAAUA